rnacentral:rRNA from 1 species
AUUGAACGCUGGCGGAAUGCUUUACACAUGCAAGUCGAACGGCAGCACGGGGGCAACCCUGGUGGCGAGUGGCGAACGGGUGAGUAAUACAUCGGAACGUGCCCGGUCGUGGGGGAUAACGUAGCGAAAGUUACGCUAAUACCGCAUACGAUCUGAGGAUGAAAACGGGGGACCUUCGGGCCUCGCGCGAUCGGAGCGGCCGAUGUCAGAUUAGGUAGUUGGUGGGGUAAAGGCCUACCAAGCCGACGAUCUGUAGCUGGUCUGAGAGGACGACCAGCCACACUGGGACUGAGACACGGCCCAGACUCCUACGGGAGGCAGCAGUGGGGAAUUUUGGACAAUGGGCGCAAGCCUGAUCCAGCCAUUCCGCGUGCAGGACGAAGGCCUUCGGGUUGUAAACUGCUUUUGUAUGGAACGAAAAUGCUCUGGCUAAUACCUGGGGCUCAUGACGGUACCGUAAGAAUAAGCACCGGCUAACUACGUG